AGGAUAGUUCUUUUUCCUAGUUCACUGCAUGCUUUAUACAUAAUGUCAUGAUCUGUUGAAAAGUCCCUGAUAAGUGUGUUGCUUAACUUCUGCCGACUCUCUAAUAAAAACUCAUUCCUUUUGAGACGAGACCUGACUCAGCGUGUCUUCAAGUGUUCCCACAAUUCUCACCUCUCUGCACUGGAGUGAAGUAACCGAAGCGGAUCUCAAGUGUAUCUAAUAAUCAUCAACCAUCCAUAAUUCUUUUCUUCAUAAUAAAGAAACUUCCUGACAGCGAUUGCUGUUACUGAACUGACUGACUGCAUAUCAAUCUGUCCUACCGCUCUGAACCACUUACAGCGAAUAAGGGCUACAUCUAAAGACAAGAUUCCCAUUGGGCCACAUUGAGUGUGAAGAGCUUCCUAUUCAAUAAAGUGGUGAAAGAGGGAUUUUUUGGUGACUUUAUUCUGUGCUAAAUUUCUAGGAAAAAAAGUUAAAUUUUUCAC